AUUGAACGCUGGCGGCAUGCCUUACACAUGCAAGUUGAACGGCAGCGCGGACUUCGGUCUGGCGGCGAGUGGCGAACGGGUGAGUAAUACAUCGGAACGUACCCUGUUGUGGGGGAUAACUAGUAGAAAGAUUAGCUAAUACCGCAUACGACCUGAGGGUGAAAGUGGGGGACCGCAAGGCCUCACGCAGCAGGAGCGGCCGAUGUCGGAUUAGCUAGUUGGUGGGGUAAAGGCCCACCAAGGCGACGAUCAGUAGCUGGUCUGAGAGGACGAUCAGCCACAGUGCGACGGAGACACGGCCCAGACUCCUACGGGAGGCAGCAGUGGGGAAUUUUGGACGAUGGGGGCAACCCUGAUCCAGCAAUGCCGCGUGUGUGAAGAAGCCCUGCGGGUGGUAAAGCACUUUUGUCCGGAAAGAAAUCGCGCUGGUUAAUACCUGGCGUGGAUGACGGUACCGGAAGAAUAAGCACCGGCUAACUACGUGCCAGCAGCCGCCGUAA
rnacentral:rRNA from 1 species